rnacentral:lncRNA from 1 species
CAAUGCCUAAAUAAGGAGAACAACUUCCAUGAUUAACCAAUGGUGCUGCUGCAGGUCCAUGAGGGACAGUAGGUAAUACAUUCUGUGCUGCUGCAGGUGCAUGAGGGACAGUAGGUAAUACAUUUUGUGCUGCUGCAGGUGCAUGAGGGAAAGUAGGUAAUACACGCUGUGCUGCCGCAGGUGCAUUGGGGAUGGUGGGUAACCUAUGAUCUCUUGGUGAAAAUUUCUUUUUAUUGUUUUUUCUCUUGUCAGGAUUUUGAUCAUUU